ACUCUGCUUAAGCUGCACUACAUGGCUGCCACUAGAAGGUAAGCUUCAUUUUCAUCAUGGAAAAUAUCACAUAAGUCAGGGAGAACUUAUUAAAUGAUUUGCUGUACUGUAUUUUAUUGUGUCCAGUUUCAACAAGCCUGAUCACACAAGGCCUGUUAUUAUAUAUUCUUAGACAAUGGAGAGGAAACAUCGAACUACGGUCUUCUUUUACUGUCGUCUUUACCUUUAAAUAGCUUAAGUCUAUAAUCGUAUAUGUUAACAACAGCUAAUAAAAGCUACAAAUGCCCGCACACCUUUAUCCUAGAUCUGUUGUGUUAUGCGGACAAAGUGGUCAUCGUGAGAAUAAAAUCUGCUGCUUGUCACAUGAAAAUUAUAGUUUUGUGCAGCUUUCACACAAACAGUAAUUAUGUCAUUCUGGUAAUGUCGUGUGACGUGAGGAUCCAAAGAGCAACACUGACAAACAGAAUCAAAAAGAAAUGUAAUCUUCAGGUUUAAAAUCAGUUCUGUUCUUUUAUUCUAAGAACCACAUUCAUAAAAAUAAAACUUCCACAGUCCUGUUGUGUCUUGCAAAGAAACGCAUAGAAAAUGAGUGGCUGGUCCCCCGAGGCCCGAGGCCUCCGUCUGUGUACAUCAUCCCUAUAGAUGAGGAGGAGUAAGAUAAAGAACUAAUGGACAUGCACCAUCAUUUCAACCUCCCCAUAGAGACCUUCCCAUGUACAGCUGAAUAAAUGUCAGUCUACAUCCAAACAGGGUGCAGCACUGUUUGGGUCCUGUUCUCAUCAUUCCUUUAAAGUUUAAAGGUUCAGUGUGUAGGAUUUAGUGACAUCUAGUUGUGGAGUUAUACUUUGCAGCUGAAUACCCUUUACCUUACCCUCCUCCUCCAAGCAUUAUAAAGUGUGUAAAUAUAAACGGAGCACUCUACAAUUUAGGUGAUUAUGCACCAGUGUUUAUAUUCAAUAUCUGCCAAUAGAUCCCUUUAACAAUAUUUUAAGCAGUGGACCUUUAAGAACACAGAAGGUAGGGGAUGCUGAGGGGGCUGCAGUAGCCCCACUUGCAAUAACUAUAACCGCAAGGCCAAAUCUUUUUGCAAAAUAAAUAAAUAAUAAACAACUCUCAAAAUGUAAAAUUUGGAAAGUAGGAUCGCAGGAGGUCUAACCUCAUUAUUUUUGUAAUUUAUUUUCAGUGUAGCAGAUCGGAUGCACUAAUGCAAAACCUCGACCCCCUGUCUGACUCAGACCCAUCUCGCCACACACAGACCCUCCAGCGUCCUCUGAGCGGCCCAGCUCCUCCUCCACCAUCUUCACUUCAAACCCCCUCUAGAGCUUGAACACGACUUGCUUUUUUUUGUUACUUUAUGGAAUUCAAUAAGGAUCAAUAGAAGUCUGAGCGUGUGAAAAUGAAGCUCAUGAAUAACUUAAAAAGGUGAAUGUGAGCAUUUGUAAACGUGCAUCAGGACUGAACGUGUGCAGAAAACCAAAAGUUCCUGAGACUCAAAGCAGAAACUGAAAGUUAAAGGGAACAAGGUACAAUUUCAUUUCAUUGCUUUGCUAUUAAAAACAAAAGGGGGGGAGUGGGAUUACAGCUUUUUGAUUUCGAGCUUAGAUUCACAACUAUUUUCUACAUCUGUAAAUCUCUUCCACACAUUAUCUGGUGGUGAUAUGCUACCACAGAUUUUGAAAGCCUUUCUGGACAUUUCUGAAAUAUAAAUAUUUUUCAACCUUAUUUGAGCCCAUACAGGUUACAGUGACCUUCAGCGCGUAUAUGUGGUUAUAUCUUGAGACAUAUGUUUAUAUUUAGAAUAAUUCUGACGUCUACAAUGUUUUUAAUAAAUUCAUAUUUGUACAGUAUAUACAUGCAUGUAUACACGUGAGGUGGGAGGAAAUAAUGACUUUUUAAUUGCAAUAAUCAACGUGUUUUAAUGAUACUGAGGUUACAAAAGUGUGUGUAAUGUACAAAAUUAAGUCAUUUAUAUUUGAAUGAAUAAAGUUAAAAACAGGAUGGGAAGAAUUUAGUCAUAACUACUAAGGUGGAAUAUAUCAUUUGUUUGCUAUCUAACAUCUUUCUAGUUGUCCAACAGCUGAACUCUGACCUCAGUAAAUCAUUCAUUACUGUCAUUCAAUGUAAGAAAUGUGAAAUGCAGAGUGCCCCAGUGAGUCCUGUGUCUUUAAACAAUAAAAUAAUGCUGUAAAACUUCCUCAUGCGGUUCACUUCCCCAUAAAUGACACAUUAUCCUGUGCUAGCAACCCACAGGUGGGAACAGUUUUUCUAUGUUUUUGCUUCUUUGAACAAGUAGUGUCAGCAUCUUGACAUAAUCCCAGACAUGACUGAGGUACUGAAUAUCUUUCAAUAUAUAUUCCCAGUCUUGGUGGUGUCCAUAGCUGUGGUACUCCUCUGCUUCUAUGUUCACGCAAAAAAUAAAAGGGCUGUGUAUGAUGUCACCACACCGACGACGCAGGACAACAACCCUGCUGCUGUCAACAAUAUCGUUUCUUCAGAAGAUGAAGAGGACAGACAUUACGACAGACUUCCUCCUCCCUACAGCAGCUUGGAUCACCCACCUCCGUACUCACUGUUUGACCCCGUGUUGGCAAGCCUUUGGCCGGCGGACUCGCUGCCUGCCUUAGGGAUGUAUCCCAUAAUGCUGCCUCUGGCGUCUCAUCACUGAAUGACACCCACAGGACCUCUUCCUCCAACACCAUCACCUUCACCCACCGCAGACGACAACAGCCUCAGAGGUUCCUGCAGACACUGAACUCCAUUUUAUAAACGCUGAGGACGCACCUCCUCCUGUUUCUGUGCAUUUUGUCUUUUUAUUUAACAUAACGUGGUUUUAAUAAAAAAAAAAAAAAGGAAUUAAUAUGAACUGUAGACCACAGAGCAACUUUCUGAACAUUUUUAAUUUUUAUACGAACAUCAAAACUACAUUGUGUGUACAUAGUCAUCCAACUGCAUCUACUCGCCAGCAGAAUCAUCAAAGCACCAAGUGUUUCUCUAUGUCAUACUAUAUACUCUUUAUUACAAUACAGUACUUACAAGUUUUAGGGAAAAUAAAAUAAAUAUUAAAUAA